GUUAGCUUUGUGUUGCUCUGUAUUUUUAUUAUCAUUUUAUUCAUUUUGUUAUGACUUGAAGUUUGAUUAUAAUCAUAUAAUUGUAAUGUGUUGUUUUACCCUUAGAUUCCUGAUUUUCAUGAUGUGAUCAAGCAUCCAAUGGACUUUGCAACCGUGAGGAAGAAGCUUGCAAAAGGAUUGUAUGUAUCUCUAAAAGAAUUUGAGGUUAGCAAUUGAUUUCAAGUUACACACAAAUUAUUCCUUGAUGUGGAUAUUGAUAAGUAACAUAUAGAUAUCCUUUAUGUUAUGCAUCGAACAAUCUUAUACAUUUAUUUUCAUAAUUCUCAUACUAUGGAAGAAUCGUCGUUGGAUUGUAUGGUGAAAGUGUGUAAAAAAACUAUUGGUAAGCUUUGACUUUUUUCCCAGUCUUGUCUUUAAUCAUUUUUGUUCAAUAGCCCCGAUUUUGGAACCUUCGUUCUGGCCGGCAAUGAGUUUGGAGCCUGUUAAUCUCCGUCCGAAUACUGCCCAGGAAUUAAACCUACUCGAGUGCAGCAUGAGCAUCACAGGAUCCGCGAAGGGUUGUUGUGUGAUUGUGUGAACCAAAGAGACGACCACACCAAAGGUUGUUUCUUUUUUUAUUACAUGUUUUUCCUUUUCCUAAUUUAAAUUGGGGGCCUUAUGGAUAAUUUUUUUUGUCUGUAGCAUAUCACAACAUUGAAUGAUUCCAUAUUGGCCUCUUGGAUUUUAUCUUGGCAUAUAUGCGACAGUCUUCUGUUUGGAUAACUCUUAUGAUUAUAAACCCUAAAAAUAGAUAGUAAAAAAUUAAAACCAAAAGUAAUAAAAUCCAGUAGUAGUUCCGAUUGCUCAACAACACCUUUGCAGGAAAUUUGAAAUCGUCUCUGGGAUGAGAUGAGACAAGAAAAUGGUGAAUUAGAUUGAAGACAAAUCUCCAGAUAAAGAAUCCGAUCAUUAGAUGAUGGUUGGACUUUAGAUUCGUGCAAUGAAGUUAUCAGGUAAGAGUAGAGUUUCAAUUGAAAACUUUAGAUGGAUAAAAAUGGUGGCAAUAAGGGAGUAUUACAAGAAGGGAAAUUUGGUUACUGGGCGAUGGUUAUGGUGUGGCGAUUAAGUAUCGGACUCCUAUGAUUCAAGUUUGAAUGGAUUCUGAUUUGUAAUAGCUGAAGUUGGCGAUUCUUCAUUUAGUGGGGUGACAAACUCUAAACGAUCGUUGCAUUUUCGGGUUACAAAGACGGGUCAACGAAUACAAACCAACUAACAAAUUGUUCAGUCGAAAGUUGUUCGACUUACGAGGAAGGUCAACAAAUUGAAUGAGAGAUGAUCGGUUUAACCCUUCAAAAUUCAAAGAAGGUUGACAAUGAGCCAGAAUUUUC